AGGUAAGAGUGUCACUGUGUUGCUGUGAGUGUGAGAGAAUGGCGAACCCUCAAAAUCAAAAAGCAUGGAAAGUGGAGUACGCGAAGUCAGGGCGAUCGUCGUGCAGGACCUGCAAGAGCCCCAUUGCCAGCGAGAAUCUCCGUCUCGGCAAGAUGGUUCAGUCCACCAAAUUCGAUGGCCUCAUGCCGAUGUGGAAUCAUGCUGAUUGCAUAUUGAAGAAAGCCAACCAGAUAAAAUCAAUUGACGAUGUUGAAAACUUAGAGUUGCUUCGUUGGGAAGAUCAGCAGAAGAUCAGAAAAUACAUAGAGAGUGGUGGCCCACCGAAGUCAAAUGCCAUCAAAGAUACUGAAUAUGGUAUUGAAGUUUCACAAACUUCUCGUGCUACUUGCAGGCAUUGUGGUCAAAAAAUUAUUAAAGGAGAGGUUCGCAUUUCUACUAAGCCUGAUGGUCAAGGUGCUAAAGGUUUAGCUUGGCACCAUGCCAAGUGUCUCAUGGAACUAUCACCAUUAAUUCAAGUGGAUAAGUUGUCUGGAUGGAAUAAUCUCUCAUCUGCUGAUCAAUCAGCUGUCAGUGACUUGGCUAAGAAGGGUCCUCCUAUGAAUAAGGGAGGUGGUAGUGGUACAAACGUUGAGGAUGAAGAGGUUAAAAAAUCCGCGCAACAAUCCACUUCCAAAGGUGGCACAAAACGGGGAAAGGAUGCCAAUGGUGAGCAGAAGUCAAAAGUUGCUAAGGCCAAAGGAGAUGUGUCUGCAGGCAGGGCAGCAUCAGUGAAAAAUGCUAAUGGCUCAGAGGAAGCAUGUGAUCUGGAGAAUAAACUGGAGGCCCAGAGCAAAGAACUCUGGGGUCUGAAAGAUGAUCUUAAAAAUCAUGUGACAACAGCAGAGCUGCGCGAAAUGCUGGAAGCCAAUGCUCAAGAUUCAACAGGACCAGAACUUGGUUUGCGUGAUCGCUGUGCUGAUGGAAUGAUGUUUGGAACACUUGGUCAUUGCCCAAUAUGUUCUGGUUUUCUGCAUUAUUCUGGAGGAAUGUACCGGUGCAAUGGAUUCGUUUCUGAGUGGAGUAGAUGUUCCUACUCUACCUGCGAACCAAAACGUCUUGAAGGGAAGUGGAAAAUUCCAGAGGAAACAAAUAAUCAGUACCUUAAAAAGUGGUUCAAAUCUCAAAAAGGGAAGAAACCAGUUAGGAUAUUGCCUCUGCCAUCAUCAAGGAAUUCUGCUGAACGUCAAAUUACUGCUCGCCAGCAUCAAUCUGCAUACGGUGAAAGUUUGGGAGAUUUGAAAGUUUCUAUCUGUGGAUUACCUAAAGACUCAAUUGAGGAAUGGAAACGCAAAAUUGAUGGUGUAGGUGGGGUGCUUCAUGCAAAAGUGAAGAAAGAUACCAACUGCUUGGUAGUCAGUGGAACACUCAAUGAUGAAGCUGAGAUGCGGAAGGCAAGGAGGAUGAAAAUACCAAUAGUCAGAGAGGACUAUUUGGUUGACUGUAUAGAAAGAAAGAAGAAGCUUCCAUUUGAUAUGUACAAAGUUGAAAUGAUUGGUGAGGCUUCUAGCAUGGUCACCAUCAAAGUGAAGGGGCACAGUGCUGUUCAUGAGGCCUCUGGCCUCCAGGAUUCUGGCCACAUACUCGAGGAAGGGAAAAACAUAUAUAAUACAACUUUGAAUAUGUCUGAUUUGUCUACUGGUGUUAACAGCUACUAUAUUCUCCAAAUAAUCCAAGAAGAUAAGGGGUCAGGUUGCUUUGUGUUUCGUAAAUGGGGUCGAGUGGGAAAUGACAAGAUUGGAGGAGACAAACUGGAAGAAAUGCCGAAAUCUGAUGCAAUCUGUGAAUUCAAACGAUUAUUCUUAGAGAAGACUGGAAACCCUUGGGAGGCAUGGGAACAAAAGACUAUUCAGAAGCAACCUGGAAGAUUCUUCCCAUUGGAUAUUGAUUAUGGAGUUAACAAACAGGUCUCAAAGAAAAAUAAAAACAAUGCAGACAGCAAACUACCCCCUCCAUUAAUAGAAUUGAUGAAGAUUCUCUUCAAUGUGGAAACAUACAGAGCUGCCAUGAUGGAAUUUGAGAUUAAUAUGUCUGAAAUGCCACUUGGGAAACUGAGCAAAAGUAAUAUCCAAAAGGGGUUUGAAGCGUUAACAGAUAUACAGAAUCUGUUAAAAUUUAAUGACCCUGAUCCAUCAGUCAGGGAAAGCUUGCUUAUUGAUGCCAGCAAUCGGUUCUUCACAGUGAUCCCUUCUAUUCAUCCACAUAUUAUUAGGGAUGAGAAUGAUUUUAAAUCAAAGGUUAAAAUGUUAGAAGCCCUUCAAGACAUUGAAAUAGCCUCAAGAUUAGUUGGGUUUGAUGCUAAUAGUGAUGACUCCAUUGAUGAUAAUUAUAAGAAGCUCCACUGUGAUAUAUCUCCACUUCCUCAUGAUAGUGAAGAUUAUCGUUUAAUUGAGAAGUUUCUCCAUACUACUCAUGCCCCCACACAUAUGGAUUGGAGUCUUGAGCUAGAAGAAGUUUUUUCCCUUGAAAGGGAAGGAGAAUUUGAUAAAUUUGUUCAUUACAGGGAGAAACUUGGUAACAGAAUGCUCCUAUGGCAUGGUUCUAGGUUGACAAAUUUUGUGGGUAUUCUUAGCCAAGGACUCAGAAUCGCACCUCCUGAAGCCCCAGCUACUGGCUAUAUGUUUGGCAAAGGUAUUUACUUUGCUGACCUGGUCAGCAAGAGUGCUCAGUAUUGCUACACUGAGAAGAAAAACCCUGUUGGUCUAAUGCUUUUGAGUGAAGUUGCCCUUGGAAAUGUCUAUGAGCUCAAGAAAGCCAAGUAUAUGGAUAAACCUCCUCAAGGAAAGCACUCUACUAAAGGACUGGGCAAGAAAGUGCCUCAUGAAUCAGAAUACGUAAAGUGGAGGGGUGAUGUCACUGUUCCUUGUGGCAAACCAGUGCCAUCAAAUGUCAAGACUUCUGAGCUCAUGUACAAUGAGUAUAUUGUUUAUGAUACUGCUCAAAUUAAAAUGCAAUUCUUGUUGAAGGUGAGGUUCCAUCACAAGAGAUGAGGAUUGGAAGUGAACUGGAAGUCUGCUGUUUUGGGUAUUAUCUGCGCUAAGCAGUUUUUGACCGGGACCUGUACAUUGUGCAUCUGGGAUUCUCUAGAAUUGUCUUGAAGAGCUGCUUUCCAUCCUGAGUGAAGGGGAGGGUACCCAGAAGAUGACGUUCUUGGGUUAUUUGUCUGAGGUAAAUAUAGUGAUCUUAAUUUUUGUUUUCUUUAACAAUAUUCAGAAAAAAGAACCCUGAGUGCAGAAAAAUUUGCAUUUAGCUAGACUGGUGGUAAGGCCAAAAAUAAAAUAGUGAAUAAAUAAAAGCUUCCCUGGUUUUGGGGCUGUGGAUGUCAUGGAACUUCUUUUGUUGCAAAAGAUAUUACGUGUUUUGCAUGUGGGUCAUGUGAAA